AUUGAACGCUGGCGGCAGGCCUAACACAUGCAAGUCGAGCGGAUGAGAGGAGCUUGCUCCUCGAUUCAGCGGCGGACGGGUGAGUAAUGCCUAGGAAUCUGCCUAGUAGUGGGGGACAACGUUUCGAAAGGAACGCUAAUACCGCAUACGUCCUACGGGAGAAAGUGGGGGAUCUUCGGACCUCACGCUAUUAGAUGAGCCUAGGUCGGAUUAGCUAGUUGGUAGGGUAAAGGCCUACUAAGGCGACGAUCCGUAACUGGUCUGAGAGGAUGAUAGGUCAGACUGGAACUGAGACGAGGACCAGACUCCUACGGGAGGCAGCAGUGGGGAAUAUUGGACAAUGGGCGCAAGCCUGAUCCAGCCAUGCCGGGUGUGUGAAGAAGGCCCUCGGGUCGUAAAGCACUUUAAGUUGGGAGGAAGGGCUUACAGCGAAUACCUGUGAGUUUUGACGUUACCGACAGAAUAAGCACCGGCUAACUUCGUGCCAGCCGCCGCAGUAA
rnacentral:rRNA from 1 species